GCGCUGUGGAACCGCCUCCUGCUAGAGCAGCGGGCUGGCGACGGUCCUCGCCGGGGCGGGAAGCGGCUCAGGCUGCCCUCGCUGGCCUGCGGCGGCGCGGCUGGAAGCGCGGGCCACUCGUGCGUGGGUCACUCAGGACUGCGCCUCGCGCGACUGUGUGUGCAGGAAACAAGCAGGAAAUACCCUAAAAGAGAAUGAAGCGCCAUGUUGAGGGUCGCGGACGUCGCGAGUGCUGUGGGAAUGUGGGCUGAGGUGGAGAGUUAUGGUAGCCCGUGUUACAGGCUCAGGGGUCUGAAAGAAGCCUAAUCGUGGAGGCGGCAUCUGAGGAGGGUCUUGAAGGCUGGGCAGGCAUUUGCCCGACAGAGAUGGAGGAAGCUAGUCCUGUCUGAUGGAGGAAACAGGGCGGAGGCGUGGAGGGAGCCGUGCAGCGCUGGUGUGAGGAGCAGCGAGCAGGCCAGGCCUGUAAAGCAGAGUGAGGGAACCAGGAUAGAGAAGGCAAGUCGGGGUCCUGUGGUCGCUGAAGAAUUUGAAUGAAAUCAGUAAACAGGUGAGAGGGAUCCAUCGCAAGAGCAUGGGAUGAAAGGAGGAGUAGUCCACGGUGAUUCCUCUGCAGCGGUGGGUGUUAUUAAUCGCGUAUGUGACACCAAAACCACCCCACUCAAGCUGUGGCUCUUUCCCUAAAGUAGAAAACCGAGACCAGUUGGGUUCCAAGCAUCCACGAAGAUCUUAUUAAAUUCGUGAUCCCUGGUGGCACCAUGGAGUCAGGAUUGGCUCAUCUCAAACCUGACUCAGAAACAAAACCGUCACAAUGUGCAGAGAUGAGCGUCCUUACCGCUAUCAACGUAUUUUCUGGUGUUUUCACAGUGCUGCGCUUCCUAAUCCCCAUUCCAUGGCAAUCCACAUGCCAUGAUGCCCGGAGUCAUUAACAAAGGAGACACACAGGGGCUCCUCACGUUGGCUUUCCAGGGUUUUGAUGAAAAUCUGUUUCCUCGUCUCAUACAAUGUGGUUAGUAAUAGUAUCAUUUAGGGUUGAAGAAUUAAAUGGUACGAGUUAUAUAGGGUGCUUAUUAUAACCUACAUGGAAAAUGCCUAGGAUAUGUUAGCUAUGCUCAUCACCAACAUCGUUAUAUGAUGGUAAUAAUCAGAUAGUCAGGAAGCCUGACACCAAGAAAAUGGAUACAUGCUCUGAAGGAAUGAAUGUGGAGAGAUCAGAAGGUCAAGAACAAAGUCGUACAAUAUGUCUACAGUAAAGGGAUAGAGAAAAGAAAGGCUAUAAAAGAAGGAAUGAAACAGAGUUAAAUUAUAGAAAUCAAAGCUAAGGAGAAUUUCCAGAAAGGGUAGUAUCAUUUAAUAUCAUAGAAGUUUAGGAGCCCAAGAUGGAAAAAAGGCCUCUGGGUAACUGACAUUGAGGCAGUCUUUGGGGAAGCUCCAUUUCCGAUAGAGAAGUAGACUGAAAGUCAGCUUGAAGCAGGGACUAGGUGAAGAAGCUGUUGGCUGGUCGCAUGGGGAAAUAAAUAAGGGAUGGCAUAUGCCGUAUUUCUGGAUUUCUUUCUUUCUUGCCCAGCCUCUAUAUAUGCACAGAGUUUGGCGAAAACUUACAAAAAAUAAAAAUGAAACCAAUUUCGUUUGUAGACCCAAAUACAAUGCUUUCUGUUAGAAUCAAGAUAAAUUCAUGCCUCUCCCUUCUAUUCAAACCGUCAGUUUUGAAAUUAAACAUCAGCUUUUCUUCUUCAUUAAAAUCAUUUUCAGCUCUUCCCAUUGAUGGUUUGGGGGAGUUGCAUAAGCAGUCAGGUCUUGAUGAGUAGAGGAGGAGGGAACAAACACUUUCAGCAAAGGCAGAAUUCUGAAAUUCUGCUCAUAUUUUUUUCCAGUAACUUUCCUAUGUUUGUGAGGUUAUUCAGUCAUAAAGAUCCUAGUGAAAUGUUUUUCAAGCUUUACUAAUCAUAAUCACUGUGGACAUUUGUUUAAAAUGUGUAUUCCCAGGCCUCUCACCUGGUGAUUCUGAUUCAGGAGAUCAUGGAUGGGACUCAGCAUACAUGUGUUUGACAAGUAUCACAAGUGGUUCUUAUGGUCAGGCAAAUUUGGGAAACUAACCAGGAAUUUAUGUUUUUAUGACUGGCAGCUAGAAAAGAUUCCUAGAGUCUUUGCUUUUUGAAAAUAAAAUAUUUCUUUUUUAAAAGGAAAAUUGUAUGACUAGAUACAGCAUUUAUACAUGUGAUAAAUGUACUAUACUGUGUGCUUUUGUCAUAUUUACAGUUAAAGAUGUGUAAGAACACUCUGAGAAAAAUUGUAUAUUAAAUGAAAAGAGGGGUAAGUCAGGGUGGGGGAGAAAUGAGAAGGGUGUGCUUAUUGUUGCUAAAAGUUAGAAAAGCCAGAAUGAUAGCAUCUAAGGUUGCAAAUAGCACACUGUAAGUUGAGGGAGCUUCACAAUCAUGUCUGAAGCCUUCUUUGAUAUGCUGAGUUGUAAACAGUGGCUUUGGACAAGAUUUGAGGGAGAAACCAACUAUGCUUUAAAGUGUUCAUUUAAAAGUCUUUAAUUAAAGGAAAGUCUUUGCAUUUACUUGAGCUAAUUUAACUUCAGGACUUUAAGAAAUUACUAGCCCUUAACCUCUUAAAAAUUGUCUUUCAUUUCAAAUGAAAGUUUAAGGUGGCCUUUAUGUUCGAUUGGUAUACUUGUGCGAAGACUUAACAGCAAGGUACUGUACAAUUCUAAAUGUUUACUUCUUAAUUUUGCUGGAAGAAAUAUACUACUCAAUUGAUUAUUUUUAAAGCAAAGUAAAACAAUUUAUUUUGACAAGUGACACUGUAUUUUCCUAGUUUUUUGGUGGCAAAGAUUAGUCUUAACAUCACUAAUCAUCAGAGAAAUGCAAAUCAAAACCAAAACGAGAUACCAUCCUACACCAGUCAGAAUAGCUACUAUUCAAAAAUUGAAAAACAACAGAUCUUGGGAGGCUGUGGAGAAAGGGGAACAUUUACACAUAAUUGGUGCAAAUGUAAAUUAGUUCAGCCACUGUUCAAAGCGGUUUGGAAAUUUCUCAAAGCAUUUAAAAUAGAAUUACCAUUCAAGCCAACAAUUCCAUUACUGGUAUAUAACCCAAAGAGAAUCAGUUAUUCUACCAAAAAGACAUAUGCACUUGCAUGUUCAUCGCAGCACUAUUCACAAUAGCAAAGACAUGGAGUCAGCCUAGGUGCCCAUCGACAGUGGAUUGGAUCAAUAAAAUGUGGUACAUCUACACAGUAUGAUUAGGCCAUUCUUGCAUUGCUAUGAAGAAAUACCUGAGGCUGGGUAAUUUAUAAGGAAAAGAGAUUUAAUUGGCUCACAUCUCUGCAGGCUGUACAGGAAGCAUGGUGAUGGCAUCUGCAUGGCGCCUGUGGAGGCCCCAGGGAGCUUUUACUCAUGAUGGAAGGCACAGAGGGAGUAGGCACAUCACAUGGUCCGAGGAGGAGCAAGAGAAAAUGGGAGUGGGGGUAAGUACCACACACCCUUACACAACCAGAUCUUGAAAGAAUUCACUAUCACAAGGACGGCAUCAGGCCAUGAGAGAUCCAUCCCCAUGACCCUACCAGGCCCCACCUCCAACACUGAGGAUUACAUUUCAUCAUGAGAUUUAUAGGGGCCACCUUCCAAACCAUUUCAUACACCACGGAAUACUAUGCAGCCAUAAAAAUAACAAAAUCAUGUCCUUUGAAACAACAUGGAUGCAGCCGGAGGCCAUUAUCCUAAGUGAAUUAAUGCAGGAACAUAAAACAAAAUACCACAUGAUCCCACUUAUAAGUGGGAGCUAAACACUGGGUACUCAUGGACAUAAAGAUGGAAAGAAUAAACACCGGGACUACUAGAGGGGAGAAGGAGGAAGGCAAGGUUUGAAAAACUACCUAUUGGGUAUUAUGCUCAUGUAUUAAUCUGUUCUCACACUGCUGUAGAGAACUACCUGAGACUGGGUAAUUUAUAAAGAAAAGAGGUUUAACUGACUCACAAUUCCACAGGCUGUACAGGAAGCAUGGCUGGGAGGCUUCAGGAAACUUAUAAUCAUGGCAGAUGGUGAAGGGGGAAGCAAGGCACGUUCUACCAUGGCGGAAGGAGAGCAAGUGAGCCAGGGGGGAUUUGCCAUAUGUUUAAACCAUCAGAUGUCAUGAGAACUCACUUACCAUCUAAGAACAACAAGGGGGAAAUCUGCCCUCAUGAGCUAAUCACCUCCCACCAUGUCAUUCCCCCUACAUUGGGAAUUACAAUUCAACAUGAGAUUUGGGUGGGGACACAGAGUCAAAUCAUACCAAAUCAGCAUCUGGAUGAUGGGAUCAUUCAUACCCCAAAACUCAGCAUUAUGAGAUAUACCCAUGUAACAAACUGGCACAUGUACCCCUGAAUGUAAAAUACAAGUUAAAAUUAUUUUCAAAAUAAAUUAAUUAAUGAAUAAAUAAAUAUUAUUAAAUUAAAUUAAAAUUUUGAAUUAAAAAAAUUUGAGAGUGAUUUCAGCUUGACAGUUAUGUAAGUUAUGUAAAUGGAAACAGUGAGUUCUGUAAGGUUCGGAUAAAUUGGACUAUGUGUACUAAGUUGAUGUCCAGUUGUUUGGAUGAAAAGAAAAGAGGAGAAACAUAUAGAUCUAACAGGAAAAAAAUGGACAAGUUUUUAUGAUAGCAAAAAGAAAAAUGGAGGAAAUAGGACUGAGAUUAUAGUGAUUGAUAGAUAUUAAUAGACGACUAAGUCAAAAGCCACUGGUUGCAGAAAAUAUUGAUUAAUUUUGUUUUAUUCCAGUCAGACAACAAAAUUCUAUGCCCUGCCUCCAGAGAAAAACCUUUUAGCCCUGUAAUUAUCUUUAUUCCAAGCACCAUUCCAUUCAUUAAGUAGUGUAUACGGUGAUUAAUAAGUGAAUUAUUCACCGAAUUGAGACAGAAGUUUUGAGUAUUUCAGGAUAUUAAUAGUAUAGUCAAUGAACUAAAAUAAAAUUUGACUAGAGGUGUGAUCACCAUGAAUGCCAUGUUGGUAUCUUGUUAGAUUUGGCAACCUAAAGUUGACAAAUUUAUUUAUAAAAUAAACAUUCAUUGAUGAUUAAUUUAUAAUUAGUAGACAUGCUCUGUCUUCUUCCUUCGUUUUCUUUUUCAUUCAUUCAUUCAUUCCUACAGAGCAGUGACUUUCAUUCUAAGAUUCCCAGAAUCCUAAGGAAUUCUUGAACGUCAUCAUAGGGAGCCAGGUGUGGGGAUUCCCAAAAGUUGUAUUUAAUACUUGAAAAAAUCUCGAAAAGUUAUAUAUUUACACCAGAAACAGCUAUACAGGUUUUAAGUUAUGUAUAUAUAGUUGAAUAUAUUUUAUUUCUAUCCAGAACUAAGUCAUUAGAGUUAGUAAUGUUGAUUAUUUCAUACUGACCUAAUGGGUAGCCUUUAUAUAUCAUUGAUUACUUAUUAAUAAAAUAAGAACCACCCCCAAAAUUACAAAAUAAAUAUAUUUUGUGGGUUUUUCUUAAGGCUUUUGAAACAUAAAAUCAGAGGAGAGGAUUAAAAGUAAUCCGUGAUUGUUAAAAAGGCAGGAAACUACUAACUUAGAAAAUUGUAUGAAAACAGCAAGAUAUAUACAUGGACCUCAGACCAGCUGCCUGUUUUAAUAAAGUUUUAUUGGAGCACAUCCAUGGAUCUAUGGUGCUUUCCUGCUACAAUGGUAGAGUUGAAUGGUUGCUAUAGAGACCGUAUGGUUUGCAAAGCUUAAAAUAUUUAUCAUCUGGUCCUUUAUAGCAAAAGUGAACCCAGUUUUAGAACAUUCACUUCACAAAUUAAGAUACAGUGGAUGCUGCCUUAACUGACCUCCACUUAACUGAUUUACAAUUAGCACUUUCUGGUACCCCUGUACAACUUAUUGACUGAUGUCCAUUGCAAACUGAAAGCCUUUGAGCUACUUUUAAUGCCUGUACAUUUCUCCUUCCAUCACAGAAAUUAUAUAGUUUCUAAGAGGAAGCUGUGUUCAUUCCUAAAUAUGUUUACACCAUUUGUUCUUGCUCUUGUAGUUAUGCAAUUUAAUUAAAUAUUAUAUUGGGAGGCUAAGGAGGGCGGAUAACUAGGUCAAGAGAUCGAGACCAUCCUGGCUAACAUGGUGAAACCCGGUCUCUACUGAAAAUACAAAAAAAUUAGCAGGGCGUGGUGGCGGGCGCCUGUACUCCCAGCUACUUGGGAGGCUGAGGCAGGAGAAUGAGGUGAACCUGAGAGGCGGAGCUUGCAGUGAGUAGAGAUGGCACCACUGCACU
rnacentral:lncRNA from 1 species